UAAAUAAUCACUCAUGUUUGCCCCACACUUGUGAAUGAAAUAAUAUUUUAAUAAUUAAUUAUAUUAUUAAUUAUUUAUUUAUUUAACAGAGUGGGUCCCACAUUGGGGCCCACUGCUGACGUGGCAGUGUGGGUCCCCCAUGUGGGCCCCAUUCUGGCUGUCUGCUGAGAUGUGGUUGAAUAAAAUGUUUAGAAAAUUUUGUAAGGUGGGGGAAUUGAACCCCCAACCUCCCACUUGAGAGUACAUGGUGCAAACCACUACACCAAGCUUUGCACUUGGUUAAACUUUUCAUUACUUUAAUAUAACCUUAUCUUGUUUACAAAAUCUUGAUUAAAUUAAGAGAAGGUUUUACAUUUUAAUUUUUUUAUAAUUUCUUUUCAACAAUCCUACUGAACUCUAUUUAUUUUAUCGGCGUGAAUCUUUUUGAAAAAAAUUAUAAAUUCGUUUUGUGGAAUUUUAUUGUAGUUUUAUAGACUAGUGCAGAAUGAAGAUUGUAUUUUUUUAAAAUUCGUUUUCAACGAUCCAUCCGUACGGAUGUUAAAUUCUCGUGACUCUGGUGAUGCGGGAAUUUUUUCGAAAAAAUCUGGAUUUAUUUGAUGUCGUCUUUUAUCAUUCAAUUCGGUCAAGGCUCCCAACUCGUGUCAAUAGACUAGUGCAGAAUGAAGAUUGUAUUUUUUUAAAAUCCGUUUUCAAAGAUCCAUCCGUACGGAUGUUAAAUUCGCGUGACUCUAGUGAUGCGAGAAUUUUUUCAAAAAAAUUUGGAUUUAUUUGAUGCCGUUUUUUAACAGUCAAUUCGAUCAAGGCUCCCAACUCGUGUCAAUAGAUUAGUGCAGAAUGAAGAUUGUAUUUUUUUAAAAUCCGUUUUCAACGAUCCGUCUGUACGGAUGUUAAAUUCUCGCGGUUAGAGUGUUGUGUGAAUUUUUAGGAAAAAUUUCAAAUUUAUCUGCUCGUGUUUUAUAAUAGUCAAAUUGGUCAAACUCCCAACUUAGUUAGCUACACUUGUACCGAUUGAAUGUUAUAUUCUUUAGAAAUCCAUUUUCAACGAUUUGUUCGUACGAAUGUUAAGUUCUCGCGGUUAGAGUGUUGUGUGAAUUUUUUGAAAAAAUUUCAGAUUUAUCUGCUCGCGUUUUAUAAUAGUCAAAUUGGUCAAACUCCCAACUUAGUUAGCUACACUUGUAUCGAUUUUCUCGACGAUAAAACCGUACGGAUGUUAAUAAAUGACCUUUUUAAUGUCGGAAAAAAAUAAUCAAAAAAUAUAAUGCUCGGAUUGUGUCGUAUUUUAACGUUAUUAUAAAUAUAUUAAAAAUAAAUAAACAAAUUAUAUCUAAAAAUUUUAGGCGGGAUAUUUCCCCCCAAAAAUUAGCAAGCCCUCUUCUCUAUCUGUUCUAUCUCUCUCAUUUCUCAAUCACUUCUAUCUCACUGAUUUCUCCUCUCUCUCUCUCUUUCUCUCUCUGAAAAUAGAUACGGUACUCACUUUCGGCGACACCUCUCCUCACCUCGCUCUGACCUCCCCUCGCCUCACUCUCACCUCAACUGUACGGGUUUCAAAAUUUGGGUUUCAAAACUAGGGUUUCAGAAUUUGGGGGUUCGACCAAUGCUCGAUCUCUUCCUUUUCGCUAAGAGCGAUUAAUGAUGCUGGGUAUGAGAAGAUGACUAUUGUGCAGGAGGCGACACUACCUCUUAUCCUUUUGCACUUAUUCAACUGAUUGAUUAUUAUUUCUGUGAAUUUUAUUUGAAUUUCUGAGUUUCCAUUAAUGGGCACCACGUGUUUGAUAAAAUGUCUGUUUGAGUUUUGUUUUGUACGUGUUAAAUGAAAGUUUGUGAUUUGGUUAUUGAAUUAAGGCUUGAGAAGCUAUAUGGGGGGAAGGCUUAUGUUGUCCUUAGAAUUCCUAAUGCUGAUUCGGGUACUCAGAAAAAUGUGGAUACAGUUCUUGUUACUAAGAGGGAGGCUGUUGUGGUUUCGGUCAAGAGAUUUGGAGGGUUUGUUUCUAUUAAUGCGGAUGGGAGUUGGGUUUGUGUUGGUGGGAGUAAGCCCAAAGAGGAACGUCAUCCUGACCCUAGACAAAACAACAGAUUACAGUUCUUGAUUAACAAUGGGGAGUUUCUGUCCCAGAAGGUUACUUCUCUUGCAGGGUUUUGUGUCCCAACCCAAAAUUCAGGUCAUGCAAACCCAUCUAGUUGCUCCACUGGAAAAGCACUUUCCACUUAUGUAUGUUUUACUGAAAGAGCACAUUGCAGAUGACGCUGACUAUAAGGAAGGGCAGAGCAAGUACCUAGGAGCUCAUUUUUAAAGUGGUGGGAAGCAUAUUCGUCAUUUGGUUGUAUCACUACCAAGCAGCUUGGAACAGUGAUGAGGUCUUUGGGACAUAAUCCAACAGAGGCUGAGCUUCAAGAUAUGAUCAAUGAGGUUGAUGCUGAUGGGAAUGGGACAAUAGAUUUUCCAGAGUGUAUAGAUACAUAUAUUAAGUUAUAUUUGGCGAAGUGGGUGUAUUGAAUUGUUUGAAAUGAUGUAUAGACUAGUUAAUAUUGUAUUUUGGCAUUUUUGUUGUAUUGAAUGUUGGUUUGAUAAUGGAAUUAAUGUAUUUACAAACAAUA